AUGUCUGUACUGAUCGUCCCGUCUGUUUUGUAGUUGUGCUUCAAUAUAAUUAACGAAAGCAGAAGAAUUAGUUUGAGUACGCAUAUCGGCUCACCAAAGUCGCCGCUGUUUCCGUCACAUGAUUGGAAGCAGUGAGCAAGUUUGCAGUAGACUCUCCUCGCAUCUUCCUCUUUUUGCAGCAGGACCGCACCCACCGCCUCACCACGACCAAAUCCCUGAGCUGUGGAGAGACGGACAAACACCAAUGCAAAAGACUAAAGGGCACUUUAUGAUCAGCUGAACCAAACAUUGGAUGAGAGAUCGGAGAUAAUGCGUCCGCAGCGUCCCCCAAGAGCUACAACAUAUAGUCUGUCAGUUCGCUUUGAUCAAGUUAAUCAGAUUCUAUUAAAAGAAUAUUUUAAACAUCUGUUAAUACA